CAGAAACUACCAGCUGAGAAACAACUCAGAAAUCAUAUACCAAUUCAAGAGGGAGAUUUCAGAAUACGGAUGUUCACUGAACACAUCAUGGAUUGGUCCAGAUGGAGUCAGAUAUUCUAAUCAAACCUUCAAUCAAGCUGCUGCUCUUCUGGUUGAGAAUGGUAAGCGAGGGAUCACAUAUCUUUUUAAACGUGGGACUCAUGAGGAAUUUGGAUACACAUCUCUCUGCACUGCUUUGGCAUUUUACUUCAUCCUCAGCUGCUGGACUGCAGGUUCUGCUGUUGCCAGUGGCCUGGUUAUCCCGAUGCUGUAAGCUUCAUUCAUCUUGGUUUGCGCUGUCUAUGUAGAAGGCCUGUGUUGAGUAGCAAUAACCUGAAUUGUAAGCUGAAAUCUUGGCAGUGGCAAAGCUAUAAUUGCUUGGAGGAGGUUGUAUAGGUGGAACAGUCUCUCUUGCUUGGAAAGAGAGACUAAAAUUGUGGAAAAGAAUGAAAAAAAGUCAUCCGAGAAUAGCUGUAGAAGGAUGAUAGCCAAAACUGUAUACUUUCCAAGUACAGAUCACUUGAAUCCUUUAGGGACCCAGGGAG
rnacentral:lncRNA from 1 species